AGACAGGCCCUGCUAUGCUGUGACCACCACUACAGCAGCCCCAUUCUCCUUGCUGUGCUACUCACCUGGGGGUUGCUGAGCCAGCAGGGCCUCCGGAUGGGGUAGACUGAAUAGCAGUACUUUCCCGUCUGAGCAGGCCAGAGCCAAGAGACCCAACCGGGGCAGGAGAGGAGCCUAAAGGGUAAAAGGGCUGGAGAAAAGAGCCACAUAUUGCGAGGCUCCUGCCCCCUCUGGCACUGGGCACCAGUCCAGAGCCCAGAGCGGUCCCCCCGUGAAGAAGGACACAUCCCAGCGCUCUGGAUGUGCUGUGAUCGAGCUAAAUCUAGAGAAAAAUCAAAGAUGGGAUGAAGAAAGGAAUUAAUGAAAGAAUCAGAAAAAAGGGCGGAUGUGCAAUCUUCACCUGUUUAUUCGGUAGAGGGUGCCAUCUUCAGGUAGCCCUUCACGUUGUACAGAAAACAAUGGAGACUUCUCCUCCUGGGGCAGUGGUGUCACCCUUCCUAAGCUACAGAGAUGUUGCUUCAACUUACAGCUCAGAUAACAAGUGCCACUUCCAGGCUAAAGGAAUCCACUCAGCAAACUCCCAGUAUGAAUGUUUCUGCUCUCGGCUGGAGAAACAGAAGAAGCAUUAAUGAAGGAGAGGGAUUCUACAGCCGCACAGUCCAAUAAAACUUUCUGUGGGGAUGGAAAUGAUCCAUUAUCUGUGCUCCCCAAUAUGCCAGUUGCUAGCUCCAAUUAGCUACCAAGCACCUAAAAUGUGGCUAGCGCAGCUGAGAAACAGAGCCUUUCAUUUUAUUUCACUUUAAUUAAAGAGUUCUAGAGCUCUUGCCUCUAGAGCAGUGCUUUUUAGUAAUGAAUGUCAUCACGGUAUUCCA
rnacentral:lncRNA from 1 species